CCGUAAAGAACCUGCCCCCACAGAAACACAGGAAGAAGUCUGUUCACCCCGAUUGGACGCUACAAAUCAGAUGGUGUUCUAGAAAUGAUAAUGUACGUCACUGUGGAGACCUUAGAUGAUCUCACUUUAGUUCUUGAGCAGCAUGUUAGACAGUUUGAGUCUGGUCCCUUUGGCUGUAUUUUGCUUACCGUCUCUGCCAUUCUUUCCAGAACUAUUGCAAUUAUACAAAGUGAUAUGGAUGUGUCAACUUCCACCCUCAUCGGAGCUCACGGCUACUGCACACAGGAAUUGGUCAAUCUUUUGCUUUGUGGACGGGCAGUUUCAAACGUCUUUGAUGAUGAAAUGAAGCUUGAUUCCAGAAAUGGAAAUUUUACAUUUCUGAAGGGAAUUAAAGCACGUUGUAAUAUUGGGCUGCUGUCUUUAUUUGAGCACUAUAAUAUAUGUAAGGUAAUAAGGCUUC